rnacentral:tRNA from 1 species
GCAAGCAUAGUACAAUGGUCAGUAUACAAGCUUCCCAAGCUUGGGAUGCGGGUUCGAUUCCCGUUGCUUGCU